CUCAGCCCGAACGCUGGCGGCGUGCCUAACACAUGCAAGUCGUGCGGAGGGGUGAUGAGCCCCUCAGCGGCAAACGGGUGAGUAACACGUGAGUAACCUGCCCCUGGGAAGGGGAUAACCCUCCGAAAGGGGGGCUAAUACCCUAUAUUGCCGGGGACCACUAAGGUCACCCGGUGAAAGGUGGCCUCUGCCCUUCAUGGGUAUGCUACCGCCCAGGGAGGGGCUCGCGGCCCAUCAGGUAGUUGGUGGGGUAACGGCCUACCAAGCCUAUGACGGGUAGCCGGCCUGAGAGGGUGGCCGGCCACAGUGGGACUGAGACACGGCCCACACCCCUACGGGGGGCAGCAGUGGGGAAUCGUGGGCAAUGGGCGAAAGCCUGACCCCGCGACGCCGCGUGGGGGAUGAAGCCCUUCGGGGUGUAAACCCCUGUCGGGGGGGACGAUGUGUCCUGGGGUGAAUAAUCCCAGGGCAUGACGGUACCCCCAGAGGAAGGGACGGCUAACUACGUGCCAGCAGCCGCGGUAAUACGUAGGUCCCGAAACGUUGCGCGAA
rnacentral:rRNA from 1 species